GCGUCCUUGGUGUAACGGUAACACACGAUCUAUUGUUGGAUUGGUCGGGGGUUCGACUCCCCGAGGACGCC